rnacentral:misc_RNA from 1 species
UCGAGGAUGUGGUAUUGUCGCUUCGCAACACCACGGAGGGUGGCAAGUUGAUUUUUUUCUAAACACGACGUGUUGGCACAAGCCUGGCUAGCGAUGCGUUGUGUGAAGAAAAUAAUGAAACGAGCGUCUUGAUGAGGCAAUCAUGUUGGUUUCGUAGCUUAUUGUUUCUCGCAUCGUUCGGUGCAUUUCUGGGAUUGCUUUGGCUUUUGGUUGCUUGCUUGCCGUUUGUGCUAGGCGGGUGGCUACUAGUCGGGUGGUUUCGGGAAGUGUUUUCCGUAAAGGUGCAUGAGUGGUGUUUGGUUUGUUACGGGUGGUUGGAUGUCUUCUAGCGAAGCAACUUCUACGCGUACUUACCUCUUCAUUUAUGUAGCAAGGCUUGUUUUGUCUUGCUCGUAUUGCGGGUUUCCUGUGUUGCAUACCUAAUCGAAGGCAUUGCRUGGACCGAUCGAAGCCAGUUUCGUCGUGCAUCACACUUGUGGUGUGUGACGAACCAGGAAGUGGUCUCUGUAAUCCACUCGUCGUUGUAAAAACAUUGACGAUGUGGCUUGCUGAGUUNUGCUUGGUCUCUUGGAUAUUGAACCUGAUGUGGGCAUGGGGUCUUACACGAUCCUUUUUUGCCCUCGUUUAGCGUUCUCGCUUCUCUAAAACGAUCACUCGUCGUGYGUUGGCAUGUCCAUGCAGGACGGGUUGUAUCGAAGAGGAAUGCUACC